rnacentral:rRNA from 1 species
GACGAACGCUGGCGGCGUGCUUAACACAUGCAAGUCGAGCGGUAAGGCCCUUUCGGGGGUACACGAGCGGCGAACGGGUGAGUAACACGUGGGUGACCUGCCCUUAGCUCUGGGAUAAGCCUGGGAAACUGGGUCUAAUACCGGAUAUGACUCCAUGACGCAUGUUGUGGGGUGGAAAGCCUUGUGCGGCUAGGGAUGGGCCCGCGGCCUAUCAGCUUGUUGGUGGGGUGAGGCCUACCAAGGCGACGACGGGUAGCCGGCCUGAGAGGGCGACCGGCCACACUGGGACUGAGACACGGCCCAGACUCCUACGGGAGGCAGCAGUGGGGAAUCUUGCGCAAUGGGCGAAAGCCUGACGCAGCGACGCCGCGUGGGGA